GGGUCAGUAGGUUGGUCGUGCCACCGGUACGUACUGGUCUCACUGAUUCCUCCUUCCUGAAGUACCGUAAUGCCAUUAAUUUGGUGUUGCGGGGAAACAGGACUGUUACUUUGAAAAAAUUAGAGUGUUUAAAGCAAGCUAACGCUUGAAUACAUUAGCAUGGAACAAUGAAAUAGGACGAUCGAUCCUGUUUUGUUGGUUUCUAGGAUUGACGUA
rnacentral:rRNA from 1 species